UACAGAGGGGGCAAGCGUUGUUCGGAAUCAUUGGGCGUAAAGCGCGUGUAGGCGGCUUGGCAAGUCAGUUGUGAAAGCCCGGGGCCCAACCCCGAAACUGCAUCUGAAACUGCUUGGCUCGAGUCCCGGAGAGGAAGGCAGAAUUCCCGGUGUAGGGGUGAAAUCCGUAGAUAUCGGGAGGAAUACCAGCGGCGAAGGCGGCCUUCUGGACGGUGACUGACGCUGAGACGCGAAAGCGUGGGGAGCAAACAGG
rnacentral:rRNA from 1 species